UACGGAGGAUCCAAGCGUUAUCCGGAUUUAUUGGGUUUAAAGGGUGCGUAGGCGGACUUUUAAGUGAGUUGUGAAAUACUCGGGCUCAACUUGAGUGCUGCAUUUCAAACUGGAAGUCUAGAGUGCAGGAGAGGAGAAUGGAAUUCCUAGUGUAGCGGUGAAAUGCGUAGAGAUUAGGAAGAACACCAGUGGCGAAGGCGAUUCUCUGGACUGUAACUGACGCUGAGGCUCGAAAGCGUGGGGAGCAAACAGG
rnacentral:rRNA from 1 species